CAGCGCCACGAGUGGUAACCACGUUUAUUGGGCCUAAAGCGUCCGUAGCCGGUUUGAUAAAUCUUUUGUGAAAUUGUACAGCUUAACUGUACAGCGUGCAAGAGACACUGUCAAACUUGAGACCGGGAGGAGUCAGAAGUAUUCCAGAGGGAGCGGUAAAAUGUUAUAAUCUCUGGAGGACUACCUGUGGCGAAGGCGUCUGACCAGAACGGAUCUGACGGUGAGGGACGGAAGCCAGGGGAGCGAACCGGAUUAGAUACCCGCGUAGUCC
rnacentral:rRNA from 1 species